rnacentral:rRNA from 1 species
UAGGGAAUCUUCCACAAUGGACGCAAGUCUGAUGGAGCAACGCCGCGUGAGUGAAGAAGGUUUUCGGACCGUAAAGCUCUGUUGUUGGUGAAGAAGGAUAGAGGUAGUAACUGGCCUUUAUUUGACGGUAAUCAACCGGAAAGUCACGGCUAACUACGUGCCAGCAGCCGCGGUAAUACGUAGGUGGCAAGCGUUGUCCGGAUUUAUUGGGCGUAAAGCGAGCGCAGGCGGAAGAAUAAGUCUGAUGUGAAAGCCCUCGGCUUAACCGAGGAAUUGCAUCGGAAACUGUUUUUCUUGAGUGCAGAAGAGGAGAGUAGAACUCCAUGUGUAGCGGUGGAAUGCGUAGAUAUAUGGAAGAAUACCAGUGGCGAAGGCGGCUCUCUGGUCUGCAACUGACGCUGAGGCUCGAAAGCAUGGGUAGCGAACAGGAUUAGAUACCCUGGUAGUCCAUGCCGUAAACGAUGAGUGCUAAGUGUUGGGAGGCUUCCGCCUCUCAGUGUGCAUGCAGCUAACGCAUUAAGCACUCCGCCUGGGGGAGUACGACCGCAAGGUUGAAAC